rnacentral:tRNA from 1 species
GCCUGCGUGGUCUAGUGGUUCAGGACGUCGCUCUGCUAUAGCGAAGGCACCGGUUCGAAUCCGGGAGCGGGCA